AAAACUUCCCACUGCACAUACAAAACUUGAAUCUGAAGUUCUGAUGCCUCAUCAGGGCUGAUUUUACCAGGGAAAUGAGCCUCUAGAUCAUUCCACGAGCUUCAUGUGAAUUGGACUAGGAGAAGAAACUGAAGCCUAGGAAUAUAACUGAAGUAAACUGAAGUGGACUAAACUUUGCAUCUGCAUGCUUAGAUGGAGACUGGACUCUCCAGAAGGCAAUGGGCCAGAUCCAUCUCUACAUCUCCCCAGUUCUUUGUUCCUUCCCUGAGGACUACGAAACGGCUCUGCCUGCCUUUGGGCCUGGUGAUUUCUAAUGAAGCUCUGGUAGAGGACUGCAUUUUAGCCAUUUAACAGUGGCACAGCCUUGACUUCAGGAGUAAGUCUUGUAUAUUUGCCAUUUUCUUAGGGUGGAGGUCUGUUUGGAAUGAUAGAUACUGUGCAAGUAGAAAACUAUCUUGAUCAUAUUGUAGAAUUUCCUCCGAAUGAUCUGAAUGUAAUUAUUGAGCAUAUGCCAUACCUUUGGUAGGCUGUGGUAGGCUCAGUGUGCAUCUGAGUAAGAGUCCUGGUCUCAAAGAGCUCCUGACUGGAUUGAGCAAAAAAAUUACAAAUUAUAGAAUAAUUACAAACCAUUCCUGGGUUCUAAAUAAGGCAAGAAUUUGCUCUAGGGACAGAAAGUAAAAUUUACUGGACACUACAAUGACUGAUGGUCCCAUCACCAAAUCUCAAUCCUAUCUGAUAAAAUUCUAUUUUAUUUAAUUCCAUGAAUAUAUAAUUAGGGGGAAAUUGUUUAACUCUCCUUCAGAAGGCAAUAAUUGGGGAAAAAGGUCUAUAAACCCUUUCUAGACUGUAUAUCAUUAUACAUCUCCACAUUAUUCACUUAAAUAUUUCAAAUUGUUGACAGCAUUAAAAAAUCAGGAGAUUUUAUAUUAAAAUAAAAAGUCCUGGUUUAGUUUAAAAAUGAAAAUCCUAUCUGGCAACUCUGGUUCCCUCAUUCCCAGGAUAAUACUUGGCAAGGUUUGUGUAUGCCAUGUGCUUUUAUGUCAUGUGCUUCAUGGUCCUUGAUAGGCUGCACUGGUCUCAUGUUCAUUCUGACUUAUUUUACUUAUUUAGGUUAUUUGUUUUUACUACUGUAGAUAUCUACUUAUAUUCUAAGUACCCAUUCAAUGACAGAUAUUUGCUAUCUGCAAGAGCUUAAGGUUGUUGUUGUUGUUGUUUUAGUUUUUUGUUUGUUUGUGUGUGUGGUGCUCUUUGGAUC
rnacentral:lncRNA from 1 species